rnacentral:rRNA from 1 species
AAACUUUUAACAACGGAUCUCUUGGUUCUGGCAUCGAUGAAGAACGCAGCGAAAUGCGAUAAGUAAUGUGAAUUGCAGAAUUCAGUGAAUCAUCGAAUCUUUGAACGCACAUUGCGCCCCCUGGUAUUCCGGGGGGCAUGCCUGUUCGAGCGUCAUUUCACCACUCAAGCCUCGCUUGGUAUUGGGCAACGCGGUCCGCCGCGUGCCUCAAAUCGACCGGCUGGGUCUUCUGUCCCCUAAGCGUUGUGGAAACUAUUCGCUAAAGGGUGCUCGGGAGGCUACGCCGUAAAACAAACCCAUUUCUAAGGUUGACCUCGGAUCAGGUAGGGAUACCCGCUGAACUUAAGCAUAUCAAUAAGCGGAGGAA